GACGAACGCUGGCGGCGUGCUUAACACAUGCAAGUCGAACGGAAAGGCCCUGCUUUUGUGGGGUGCUCGAGUGGCGAACGGGUGAGUAACACGUGAGUAACCUGCCCUUGACCUUGGGAUAACUUCAGGAAACUGGGGCUAAUACCGGAUAGGAGCUCCUGCUGCAUGGUGGGGGUUGGAAAGUUUCGGCGGUUGGGGAUGGACUCGCGGCUUAUCAGCUUGUUGGUGGGGUAGUGGCUUACCCAGGCUUUGACGGGUAGCCGGCCUGAGAGGUUGACCGGCCACAUUGGGACUGAGAUACGGCCCAGACUCCUACGGGAGGCAGCAGUGGGGAAUAUUGCACAAUGGGCGGAAGCCUGAUGCAGCAACGCCGCGUGCGGGAUGACGGCCUUCGGGUUGUAAACCGCUUUCGCCUGUGACGAAGCGUGAGUGACGGUAAUGGGUAAAGAAGCACCGGCUAACUACGUG
rnacentral:rRNA from 1 species